GAUGAACGCUGGCGGCGUGCCUAAUACAUGCAAGUCGAGCGAACAGACGAGGAGCUUGCUCCUCUGACGUUAGCGGCGGACGGGUGAGUAACACGUGGAUAACCUACCUAUAAGACUGGGAUAACUUCGGGAAACCGGAGCUAAUACCGGAUAAUAUAUUGAACCGCAUGGUUCAAUAGUGAAAGACGGUUUUGCUGUCACUUAUAGAUGGAUCCGCGCCGCAUUAGCUAGUUGGUAGGGUAACGGCUUACCAAGGCGACGAUGCGUAGCCGACCUGAGAGGAUGACCGGCCACACUGGAACUGAGACACGGUCCAGACUCCUACGGGAGGCAGCAGUGGGGAAUAUUGCACAAUGGGCGCAAGCCUGAUGCAGCCAUGCCGAGUGUAUGAAGAAGGCCUUCGGAUUGUAAAGUACUGUCAGCGGGGAGGAAGAGAGUAAAGUUAAUACCUUCGCUCAUUGACGUUACCCGCAGAAGAAGCACCGGCUAACUCCGUG
rnacentral:rRNA from 1 species